rnacentral:rRNA from 1 species
ACGGUAACAGGCCGCAAGGUGCUGACGAGUGGCGAACGGGUGAGUAAUGCAUCGGAACGUGCCCAGUCGUGGGGGAUAACGCAGCGAAAGCUGUGCUAAUACCGCAUACGAUCUAUGGAUGAAAGCGGGGGACCGUAAGGCCUCGCGCGAUUGGAGCGGCCGAUGUCAGAUUAGGUAGUUGGUGGGGUAAAGGCCCACCAAGCCAACGAUCUGUAGCUGGUCUGAGAGGACGACCAGCCACACUGGAACUGAGACACGGUCCAGACUCCUACGGGAGGCAGCAGUGGGGAAUUUUGGACAAUGGGCGCAAGCCUGAUCCAGCAAUGCCGCGUGCAGGAAGAAGGCCUUCGGGUUGUAAACUGCUUUUGUACGGAACGAAACGGUCUGGGUUAAUACCCUGGGCUAAUGACGGUACCGUAAGAAUAAGCACCGGCUAACUACGUGCCAGCAGCCGCGGUAAUACGUAGGGUGCGAGCGUUAAUCGGAUUUACUGGGCGUAAAGCGUGCGUAGGUGGCCAAUUAAGUCAAAUGUGAAAUCCCUGAGCUUAACUUAGGAAUUGCAUUCGAUACUGGUUGGCUAGAGUAUGGGAGAGGAUGGUAGAAUUCCAGGUGUAGCGGUGAAAUGCGUAGAGAUCUGGAGGAAUACCGAUGGCGAAGGCAGCCAUCUGGCCUAAUACUGACACUGAGGUACGAAAGCAUGGGGAGCAAACAGGAUUAGAUACCCUGGUAGUCCAUGCCGUAAACGAUGUCUACUAGCCGUUGGGGUCUUUGAGACUUUAGUGGCGCAGCUAAC